rnacentral:rRNA from 1 species
GACGAACGCUGGCGGUGUGCUUAACACAUGCAAGUCGAACGGUAAGGCCCUUUCGGGGGUACACGAGUGGCGAACGGGUGAGUAACACGUGAGUAACCUGCCCUCAUCUCUGGGAUAACAGUCGGAAACGGUUGCUAAUACUGGAUAUGAGCUUGCAAGGCAUCUUGUGGGUUGGAAAGAUUUUUUGGUUGGGGAUGGACUCGCGGCCUAUCAGCUUGUUGGUGAGGUAGUGGCUCACCAAGGCUUCGACGGGUAGCCGGCCUGAGAGGGCGACCGGCCACAUUGGGACUGAGAUACGGCCCAAACUCCGACGGGAGGCAGCAGUGGGGAAUAUUGCACAAUGGACGGAAGUCUGAUGCAGCAACGCCGCGGGCGGGAUGACGGCCUUCGGGUUGUAAACCGCUUUCAAUUGUGACGAAGCUUUUUGUGACGGUAGCAGUAGAAGAAGCACCGGCUAACUACGUG